GCCCGGCUGGCGCAAUGGCUAGCGCACUCGACUUCUAUCGCGGGCUGCGAACCUAGAAACAUGCCGCAUAUAUGCCGGAUAAUCGCAGGUUCGACCCCCAGAGAUCGAGAGGCUGUGGGUUCGAGCCCCACGUCGGGUA